rnacentral:rRNA from 1 species
UACGGAGGAUGCAAGCGUUAUCCGGAUUUACUGGGUUUAAAGGGUGCGUAGGCGGACCAGUCAGUCAGUGGUGAAAGCCUGUUGCUUAACAACAGAACGGCCAUUGAUACUGCUUGUCUUGAGUACAGUUGAGGUUGGCGGAAUAUGUCAUGUAGUAGUGAAAUACUUAGAUAUGACAUAGAACACCGAUUGCGAAGGCAGCUAGCUAAGCUGUUACUGACGCUGAGGCACGAAAGCGUGGGGAGCAAACAGG